UCGUACCGUACUUGUGACGGAACACACACACACAUUAACUUGUGCGUCGAAUGAAGUGUCGCUAGUCUGCAUGAUACUAUCUCGGUGUCGGCAGACGACCGAACAGAACAGGCAUACACCAAACGGUGUCAAGUCAAGCGAUCGACCGACCGAGUGUUGUGCUUUCAUAGCGCUAACUCGGUGAGCGACCGACAGAUUGCUACUUAAACGGCUUCUCACCGGUGCCUGUUCAGUUCAACCGGCUAUGUCAGGUGUCUAGUCCACGCUGCCUAGUAUUAGCACUUGCGUUCCGACGCAAGUCAGGCUGUGGAGUGACAAGUUUGUCGGGUGUUCGCAUCCGUCACUUGCCGCCAGACUUAAUUAUUGUUGCUUGCAGACAAUGCCGACUUAGCACGGGUAAACCAUGCACAUACAUUAACUUGUUCUCAACAACACUUAUGUGCCGUCAAUGACAAUUGACAAUACAAACAAAUGUUUAAUGCAGUA
rnacentral:misc_RNA from 1 species